rnacentral:rRNA from 1 species
GAUGAACGCUGGCGGCGUGCCUAAUACAUGCAAGUCGAGCGAACAGACGAUGAGCUUGCUCCUCUGACGUGAGCGGCGGACGUGUGAGUAACACGUGGAUACCCUCCCUAUAAGACUGGGAUAACUUCGGGAAACCGGAGCAAAUACCGGAUAAUCUCUUGAACCACAUGGGUCAAUAGUGAAAGUCGGUUUUUCUGUCACGAAUAGAUGGAUCUCCGCCGCAUGAGCUAGUUGGUAAGGUAACGGCUUACCAAGGCAAGGAUGCGUGGCCGACCGGUCCGAGUGGUCGCCGACCCUGGAACUGAGACACGGACAAGACUCCUACGAGAGGCAGCAGUAGGGAAUGUGAGGCAAUGGGGGAAAGCUUGACGCAACAACCCCGCGUGAGUGAUGAAGGUCUUCGGAUCGGAAAACUCUGUUAUUAGGGAAGAACAAAUGUGGAAGUAAACAUGCACGUCUUGACGGUACCUAAUCAGAAAGCCACGGCUAACUACGUG